CCAACAAUUGACGCCACUGCUCGACAUCAUCUCAUAUAUCAAACCCUAAAUACCAAAGCUUUCAUUGUUCUUUGCAGAUUCGCGUAAACCACAAAGAUGGAAUUGGAUCCCUUAUGUUCUUUUCUCUAUUAUUGAUAUCUUUCACACUGGCCCUUUUUCUCCAAACCCCAAACCAAACUCUUGCUGCAUCUGGUUCUUCCUUCGCGAUUCAUCAAUAUUAAUUACAAAGGUUGAAGUGUAGUGUCAAUUCCUCCUUCAAGUCAGCCAUACGAGAAGCUUUGCAGAAAAAAUAAGUAGAAUCACUUUGAAAGAGAGAAUACGAGAGAUAGAGAAAGAGAGCCUGGCCGAGCCACGGUGGGUAUUGUGGAUAUGCAGCCUUGUGAGUCAACCUGACCCAACUUCACACGGCUUGGCUGAUGCUUCUAGGGCACUUCCUAUUAAUUUGAGUUUUGGUGUUAUAAACGUAUAAAGGUACUUGCUCGAAGUAGCUUUGCCCUUUCGUAUUUGGAAGAGCCGAAACAACCCAGGUUUGUUUUGUUGCGUAGUGGAUUAAAGUGGGUUUGGUUGAAACAUGCCGGUGUAAGUAAAUUUGUAUUACAACAAAUGGAAGAGGAUAAAUAGAAAAAAAAUUAAUUUGUAAGUAGAUGCAGGGGAAGUCAUUACAAUUUUGGAAACUCACAAGGCACCGAUCAGUACGGAAAGACCAUAAUCGAAAUGCUCUUAUCUGAGGCGCAACCUGAUAAAAUCUGUUCUUAAAUGAAUUUAUGCACUUUUGACGGUUCGCGAGAUGUUAGGCCAAUCUCACAUUGCAAGUUGCGUAAACUUUUAUCAUCGCCGUUUGUUACUAACAGUUAUUUUUAACAGUUCAAUAAUCGAGAGUGUGGUUGACAAGAAUAGUGGGAAGUCUUCUGCUGGAUUAAAUGACGGGAUUUGUACAUUCUGUGAUAUGGCUGUUGUUUGGAUGCAAAGCCAACUUAAACGAAACCAGACUGAAGAUAGCAUAAUUAAUUAUGUCAAUGAGUUGUGUGACCGAAUACUCGGUACUAUGGGAGAAUCUACAGUGGAUUGCCACAGUCUUUCCAACAUGCCUAAUAUCGCCUUUACUAUUGGCGGUAAAACUUUUGAGCUCACCCCAGAACAGCUUUUUUAAAUAUGGUUGAUAUUACGAAGACAUGGCAAGGUGGACACUCAACAAUAAUAUGCUCAAAUAUAGCGUUACAAGGCACCUACUUACUGCAGACAUUCACCAGCUCUUUAAAGGCUUUGGUUGCUUCGGUUGACAGGGAAACUAAAACGGAAUGCCCUAGCCACCGUCUCCAGCAAUUACAGCUAGGGUUCCGACCAGUUGAUCUGGAGUUCACAUAUUCAAACAGUUGAAUGCAAUUUUUUAGUCGAGCAAUCAGAUAAAAAUUGAACCCCUCCAACUUUCAGGGGUUUUGAUGAUGAAAUUAGAGCUUUAAAGAGCUGGAGAUCUUAUUGGAAGAGGCAUUAGUUUGCAUCCCCAAACAAAUUUGACACCGGACUAAAAAGGGAAGCUAAAUGAGGCCACUUUGUCUUUAUGAUGGGAACCAUGUGCGUGCAGCUCUAAGGAUGACAAGGAGUUCUCUAUUGUACGGGAGUGUUAGAGGCUGUCUGUACAACAAUAUUGGUUGAACCAUAGAAAACAAUUCGAAAGCUCUCAAGAGUAUAACACCUUUAUGCUCGAAUAAGACGUAGACUAAGAAGUGAAGAUGAUGAGGAAUGCUUUAUAUCGUAAUUCAUAGAAUAGUCUAAGAAGAUGCAGUUUCGUAAUUAUGUAAAAUGACAAAUACUCCUCUACAACAUGGCUAUGAAGUUUGAUAUUUUGUCUUCACUUCAUCCAACACCAGUUGUGUGUGGAUUCCCAAGUGAAGAAGCAUGAGUACUGAUAGCAGAAACUGAAAACUUUGACCGAGGAAUGUAUGCUGGUCCUGUUGGGUGGUUUGGAGGAGGCGAGAGAGUCUUUUCAGCUCAGAGUGGUCAGUGGUCCAACGUCUGCAAACAUAGUUGCGCACUUUUAACCAAAUGGCUGAUCAACUGUUGUUGAGGUUGAGGACAUUCCAAGUUGGCCAUUCGGGUUCCAGAAUUAAAAAAUAAAACCCUGCAUUGAUGUUAAACAACCUCGCCAGCCAUAUGUUAUAAGAAUAAGUUCUUGCUAAAUAGGCCGGCACCAUCCGAUUAAAAGAUCCGCACAAACGGAGUGAUUGCAGGUUGUAGCGCUAUUCGCUGCACUUUGCACCAUUUAUCUCGGAAUUCUUCAUUUUAAGGCGGUUGAUUUGGGAUUUAUAUAAGGCAAAAGUACGUGAUUCACGAAUUGAUUAAAAUCUAAAAUCCAUUGUUCUCUCCAGUCAUCCAAAGCUUAGAGCAUACCAACAUCAUCGGGGUUACUUCGGAAGUCCUACUAUAUUAUGAUAUUUCAAAAAGAAGCCUUGAUCCUCUUGGUGCAGCAGUCAGCAGGGUAUAUUCCAAAUUAUUGACUGGGUGCAUCUGGGAUCAUCUUUCCAAUUAUCAAGUCGGAAGGAGUUCGACAAAUGUCCUUCCCAGCAAGGGUGGAGCAUACUACAAAGCACCUCAAGUUGCUUAACCAUCAAUCAUAUCUUGAGUUUUGAAUGUUGGAAUGGUAUUGGAAGUAGGGGUGUUCAUCGGGUUUUUUAUGCAGGUUUCGGGUUUUUCGGGUCGGGUUGUUCGGGUUUUUGUCUUGGAGAAAUUGACCCGAUAACCAACCCAUUUUAAAGUUCGGGUUAGUUCGGGUCGGUUUAUUCGGUUUUAGGGUUUAGAUGUAAAUGAAAAUAAAUGUCUUUUAUUUUUUUUUACAAAAUAGCAUCAGAAUUCAUAUUGCUACUUUAAAAGUAUCGUCAAAGUUCAAAGAUUAGUUGACAGUAUGCUAUUAUAAUAUUUAAGUAGUGUUCCAUCUAUUAAAGACUCUAAAUCUAAACACUUCUAUAAGAGGAAACAAUAAAUGUUCGGUUUUUUUUGGGUUUCAUGUUUCGGGUUUUUCGGGUCGGGUUAUUCGGGUUUGUUGGCCAGGAAAAAGUGGCUCGAUAACCGAACCAUUUAAAGUUCAGGUUGGUCGGGUUCGGGUUUCUGGGAUUCGGGUCAUUCGCUAAUUCGGGCUCGGGUGGCUUUGAAUUCGGGCCGGGUUUCAGAUUUUGGAUGAAAAUGAACAGCCCUAAUUGGAAGACCACACGUUUUUUCUUCUCAAAAAUGUUACUUUCACUGAUUAAAGCCUUAUUUUUUUAUGCAGGUCCUAAUCUUCAUUUGGGGAGGUUGUGAUUAUUGUUUGGUUUUUUGGAUUUAGGUAUAUGCAAUGCAUAAAGAAGGUGAAUUGGUUAGUAUUGUUUGUUGCUUAUAGACUUAAAAUUAGAGUUUGUGUUUCGAAGUUAUGUGUAGUAACGAAUGUAUUAGCUGCGAUUGUGUUUGUGAAAUUUCUGAUUAAUCACCAUAUCCGACAGUGGUUUUAAUUUUUUUUUAUGUUCAACGAUAAGGUAAAGUAUUAACCUUUUAGGAUGUUCUGAUUCUGGUGCGAAGAAAAAGAUGAAAUAUGAUAAAUUAAUUGCAUUUAAAGUGAUUAUUGCGACUUGAAUUUGCUCUAUAAUUUGGAGUGUUUGGAUGCAACUGUUUAUUAUUGCGAUUUUCUAAUCGUUACAAUAAGUAUCAAAAUACAUGCAUUUACAUCUGUUUGUUCAAGUAUAUUGGUGUUCUGCAAUAUAAAUGGUAAAUAAUGUUGUAAAAUUUUUGGUAUUAUAUGGCAUUUUGUCGCUUUUGUUGGUUUUGAAUUGCUUACAUUUAUGGGUUUUUGAUUUUAAGUUAGGGUGGUAGCUUGUGAGCGUGAUCAACGGGGUCUUGUAUUUGCUGGUAAUUUUUGCUCCCUAAAACGAUCAUUAUUAGGACUUAUUAUUUGAAUGGUGAAGCCCAAAUAGCCUUAUGGUGUUUGUGUACUUUGUAGGGGAUGUGAAUGUUUCCCCUCAUUACUUGACAACAGAAGUGAGUCCAAACAAAUGGUCAUCAUCUUAUUUGUUUGCUUUCAUUUUGUUUUAUUUGUUCUUAUAUCUUUCUUACUAUAAAAUGAGUUAUUAUGCAGUUGUUGCCAUCUUCGUAUGUGAAUCAUUAUUUUCCUAACAAUCUUCCAAAUUAGCCAAUGACCGUUUCACAAGAUAUGUUUUUAAUCAGUGGAGUGUUGGAAUGAAGAAAAAAAGGGAGUUUUUUACUAACCAUAAACAAAUACACUGACUCCAGUUAUUCCGUUAUGCGCC